rnacentral:rRNA from 1 species
GACAGAGGGUGCAAACGUUGUUCGGAAUUACUGGGCGUAAAGCGCAUGUAGGCGGCCUAGCAGGUCGGAUGUGAAAUCCCUCGGCUCAACCAAGGAAGUGCAUUCGAAACCGCAAGGCUGGAGUCCCGGAGAGGAUGGUGGAAUUCUCGGUGUAGAGGUGAAAUUCGUAGAUAUCGAGAGGACCACCGGCGGCGAAGGCGGCCAUCUGGACGAGGACUGACGCUGAGAUGCGAAAGCGUGGGGAGCAAACAGG